rnacentral:pre_miRNA from 1 species
ACUCAGGUCACCUGGAAAACUUAUUAAAAUGCAGAUUCUGAUUUAAUAGUUCUGCAGUGGAACCUGCAAUUCUGCAUUUCCAAUAAGCUCCAAGUCUAAU